GAUGAACGCUGGCGGCGUGCCUAAUACAUGCAAGUCGAGCGAACAGACGAGGAGCUUGCUCCUCUGACGUUAGCGGCGGACGGGUGAGUAACACGUGGAUAACCUACCUAUAAGACUGGGAUAACUUCGGGAAACCGGAGCUAAUACCGGAUAAUAUAUUGAACCGCAUGGUUCAAUAGUGAAAGACGGUUUUGCUGUCACUUAUAGAUGGAUCCGCGCCGCAUUAGCUAGUUGGUAAGGUAACGGCUUACCAAGGCGACGAUGCGUAGCCGACCUGAGAGGGAGAGAGGAGACACUGGAAGUGAGACACGGUACAGACUCCUACGGGAGGGAGCAGUAGGGAAUCUUCCGCAAUGGGUGAAAUCCUGACGGAGCAACGCUGCGUGGGUGAUGAAGGUCUUCGGAUCGUAAAACUCUGUUAUUAGGGAAGAAAAAAUGUGUAAGUAACUAUGCACGUCUUGACGGUACCUAAGCAGAAAGCCACGGCUAACUACGUG
rnacentral:rRNA from 1 species